rnacentral:rRNA from 1 species
CCUACGGGAGGCAGCAGUGGGGAAUUUUCCGCAAUGGGCGAAAGCCUGACGGAGCAACGCAGCGUGAGGGAUGAAGGCCUCUGGGCUGUAAACCUCUUUUAUCAAGGAAGAAGAUCUGACGGUACUUGAUGAAUAAGCCACGGCUAAUUCCGUGCCAGCAGCCGCGGUAAUACGGGAGUGGCAAGCGUUAUCCGGAAUUAUUGGGCGUAAAGCGUCCGCAGGCGGUCUUGUAAGUCUGUCGUUAAAGCGUGGAGCUCAACUCCAUUUCGGCGGUGGAAACUACAAGACUAGAGUGUGGUAGGGGCAGAGGGAAUUCCCGGUGUAGCGGUGAAAUGCGUAGAUAUCGGGAAGAACACCAGUGGCGAAGGCGCUCUGCUGGGCCAUAACUGACGCUCAUGGACGAAAGCUAGGGGAGCGAAAGGGAUUAGAUACCCCUGUAGUCCUAGCCGUAAACGAUGAACACUAGGUGUCGGGGGAAUCGACCCCCUCGGUGUCGUAGCUAACGCGUUAAGUGUUCCGCCUGGGGAGUACGCACGCAAGUGUGGAACUUAAAUGAAUUGACGG